CCACGGAAUGACCGUCGGGGACAGGUGUCCUGAACGACGAUGUACUCGGACGCGGAUGAACACUGGGGAUGACAUCGAGAAUGCGGAAGAAUAUGAAUUUCAUUUUCUUAUUUUUUCUUCUAACGAAGGAAAAAUUGCAAUUUCAUUCUUCAAAGCAGGAGGGAAAAAUCUUCAAGUGUCAACCCCUGUAAUCCAAGAAAGUAUGCAAAGAUGGAUUCUUCUACCCCGGGAGGAAUUCGACACGGCAGCGGCCUAUUGUGGAUGAGGGCCUCUUCAGACCCAUCACUAUCGUUUACCUGCCUCCAUUCGCACCCUGAAACGCACGAGGAACACCUGACAGAUACUUUUGAAACAAUGAAAACAAUGCUUCGAUUCUUUUUUGUUAACUGACUCUUUGGAAAUAUUCAUUGUGUACCAGCUUUUACACUUUGUUUUAAUUUUUGUGUAUUACACCGACAUAAACAAUAUUCACUGCACUAAAAAAAAAAAAAGUUUAAGUUUAAAAUAUAUUAUAAAUACAUAACGUUUAUAAAUAAUCCUAAAAUCAAGUGUACAAUAAUGCACUUCAUUCGUCUAUUCUCACUCGGGUGACGAGAGUUAUUAAUUAUUAACGCAUAAUCGAAUUCAA